AGCAAACAGCGGAUGUGCAGUUCCUCUCUUCGCCGAACCCGGUUUUCCCUUUCGGAGCAGCGCGACCGAUUUCCGGUUUCCCCGCCGCAACCACCGUUACCCCCCCCCCCCCCCCCCGCCCCAAUCCCCGGCGACUCCAGCGACGUCACCGGUUCAGCUCCUGACCUUUCGGCGAACCGCAGAACCACAGGCGACCCGUUCGACGUCAUCACUCCCCGCCCAGAUGUCGCUGUGACAUCACCCCGCACGUGCCUGCGCUGGCACCGCGUCGUCCUGGCGAGCGCCUCCUCGCGGCGGAAGGAGAUCCUGGGGUUCGCUGUGCGAGACAUGUCGGCGGGGUUUCACGUGAGUGACACUUGGUCCCCACGGGAUUGACAGCGACUAGCGGAGUGGCAUGUGGACGUAGCUUCAGGUGACCUCACUGACCCCGCCCCUGACUCCACCCCUUGUGAUGACCCCACCACUGACCCACAGGCCUUGGAGGGGCUGAUCCUGGAGAAGUCAAAGGACCAGGAGGACGCCAUGGGGGGUGCUGUACAGGCUGAGCAGGAAGCAGAGCAGCACAGCGUCAUCAUGAGGGUAGCCAUCUUCACCUGGGGCAUCCACGGAGGAGGAGCUGAUCCACGACUACUUGGACAACAGCACACCAGCGAAGGAUGGUGAGGCCCUGCCCCCUGCCUGCACAUGACACUGCCCACGCCCUGUCUGAGACUCUACCAAGUGGUUCUGGGAUAAUAGAUUGAGGGGAUGGGGGCUGCAUACAUUUGCAUGAUUUUGCAUAUUUUGGGCUCAUUUGAAUAAAUUUGUAUAAGUUAACACC
ensembl:antisense Rab10os RAB10, member RAS oncogene family, opposite strand